UGUGUCUUUUGCAUGUGUAAAGGAUAAAAAAGGAUAAAUGGACCCCUGGAGCUGUUUCACUCUUCACUGAUGAGACUUAAGUAUGCUGUGACUGCUUAGACCUCCAAGUUACACUGAAUUAUCUUCCACACCAUACAGUGAGUAUUCAUGCUCAUCAAUUCACUAGUGUACUCAAGACUAAAUGGCACUGGAAAGCAUGAUCACUGGCUUUGUUGAUAGUUUAUUUAAAGAAGACACCUGCUGUCAGAUUAAAAAGGGUGAGAAAAAUCCAGAGCUGUUAUCCCAUUGCAUCACACUGACCCCUGUGUAUCAUCAGCAAGGAGGGACACAUCGGAGCACCUAGCAGAGCACCUUAGGUGAGCACCAAGAUAUCCUUCUCUGCAUGGGCCUGCAUUAGAGGAGGCUGGAAAACUUCAUCAUCAGGGCUUUCCACAUGAAACUCUCUGAAGUGCUUUAUAAAU
rnacentral:lncRNA from 1 species